rnacentral:rRNA from 1 species
UAUUAAAGUUGUUGCAGUUAAAAAGCUCGUAGUUGAAUUUCGGGAUCAAUACGUCGGUCGUGCUUUCGGGUACGUACUGGCGUCAUUGGUUUCUCCUUUCUGACGAACCAUGAUGUCAUUAAUUUGGUGUUAUGGGGAGUUAGGACUGUUACUUUGAAAAAAUUAGAGUGUUUAAAGCAGGCAUUAGCUUGAAUACAUUAGCAUGGAAUAAUGAAAUAGGACGUUCGAUCCUAUUUUGUUGGUUUCUAGGAUCAACGUAAUGAUUAAUAGGGAUAGUUGGGGGCAUUAGUAUUCAAUUGUCAGAGGUGAAAUUCUUGGAUUUAUUGAAGACUAACUACUGCGAAAGCAUUUGCCAAGGAUGUUUUCAUUAAUCAAGAACGAAAGUUAGGGGAUCGAAGACGAUCAGAUACCGUCGUAGUCUUAACCAUAAACUAUGCCGACUAGGGAUCGGAUGAUGUUAAUUUUUUAAUGACUCAUUCGGCGCCUUACGGG